AAUCCUGAAAAAGAAAGUGGACAGGAAGAUGGUAUUGAGUCUGAAGUGACCCAGAGAGAAGAGGCUAGUGGCCAUCCAACCUAAGCCUCUGCCCAAUACCUCCCCACUGUAGUCUCCCUCCUGCCUCACCUGGUUGGACAAGAAAGAGGACCCAGGAAUGGUACUAGGAUCCUGGGCCAAAAUGUGACCACAGAUAAGCAGACAAGACAUCGGACACGCCACAACCUGGGGGUGAGGAUGGGAAUAAAGGCAGUCUGCAUAUACUGCUCAGAUCAGUGUCAGCUCUGGGUUUGGAAGGUUUUCUCUAUGCUACAUCUUGGGUAACCAGUUUUUAAUAUUUUUAAACAGAGAGGCCUCAGUCACCCUACCUCUCUUAAAAACAAAUGAACAAUAAACCAUGUAAAUAUACAUGAUCUUUUGCAUGAUGGUGCAUGCCUUUAAUCCCAGCACUCAAGAGACAGAGGCAGGUGGAUCACUGUGAGUUUGAGCCUAACUUGAUCUAGACAAUGAGUUUCAGGUCACUUUGGGAUACAUAUCAAGACUCUCAAAAAAAAAAAAAAAACAAAACAAAAGGCCGGGCAAUGGUGGCACAUGCCUUGAAUCACACCUGGAUUUCCGAGGUCCCACCAAUGGUAGAUUUUCUCAGUUAACCUCACCAUAUCUGGAUACUUCUUGCUCCUCAAACUACUCUUCAGAAACUGGCCUUCAGCUCGAGAUGCAUGCUGACCAAAUGCCAUUACAAGAAAAGUAGUCCUGACUCACCUCAUCGUCCUUGUUCCCAGAGACCAGCUCCUGGGACUCAGGCUGAAGCUGAGUGUCCAGCUCCGGGUAGGUGCCUGGAUCCACAUCCGAGUCCUCAUCUUUCUCCAGCUCUUCCUCCUCUUCUUCAUCAACCUCAAUAUCCUCAAUUGCCCGUAACUUCUUUCCUUUCACCAAGAUCUUCCUUUGAAGCUGCUAGGGAACAAAAAUAAAGAGACCUAUCUACUUGUCUGCUCAAGCCCCUCCUGCAGAAGGCAGAAGAGAGUGAGCUGUCAGAAGUUUCCCUCAAUACAUAUGGCAAAGCCACUUAUUCUCAAACAAACUUAGGCUGUUUCUAUCCAUAUGAAAAACAAUCAAUAGGUCCUUCACUCAUAUUUUACACACUGAAAACUCCCUUAGGUUAAAGGUUUGCAUAUGUAAAGCACAUAGGAGUUUCUUGAAUAGUCUUUUCAUGGAAAAGCCUUUAGACAGGAUAUGAAUUGGGAAUUGGUUGCUCAAGCCUGAAGUUCAGAACUCUGAAGGAAGGCAGGCAGGACUAGAUGCUAAAAAGUGCCAAGCAUGCUUGUGCAUGCAAUAAUACUAGCACUCAAAAAAACUCAGAGCAACAAAAAAAAGAGAAGCCCUUCUUUUCAAUGUUUGUUAUUAUGAAUCAUCUCACUAUGCUGUUCUGUUGGUCAGAGUAAAAUUUGGUACUUUUUGGAGAGCAACUCAGCAAUAAUAAUAAAAAUUGUCAAACUGUG